rfam:Micromonospora avicenniae strain DSM 45758 genome assembly, contig: Ga0111705_118
CGGGACGUGGCGCAGUUUGGUAGCGCACUUGACUGGGGGUCAAGGGGUCGUCGGUUCAAAUCCGGCCGUCCCGA